ACCCGCUGAACUUAAGCAUAUCAAUAAGCGGAGGAAAAGAAACCAACAGGGAUUGCCCUAGUAACGGCGAGUGAAGCGGCAACAGCUCAAAUUUGAAAUCUGGCGUCUUUGGCGUCCGAGUUGUAAUUUGCAGAGGGCGCUUUGGCAUUGGCAGCGGUCCAAGUUCCUUGGAACAGGACGUCACAGAGGGUGAGAAUCCCGUACGUGGUCGCUAGCCUUUACCGUGUAAAGCCCCUUCGACGAGUCGAGUUGUUUGGGAAUGCAGCUCUAAAUGGGAGGUAAAUUUCUUCUAAAGCUAAAUACUGGCCAGAGACCGAUAGCGCACAAGUAGGGUGAUCGAAAGAUGAAAAGCACUUUGGAAAGAGAGUUAAAAAGCACGUGAAAUUGUUGAAAGGGAAGCGCUUGCAGCCAGACUUGCCUGUAGUUGCUCAUCCGGGUUUUUACCCGGUGCACUCUUCUAUAGGCAGGCCAGCAUCAGUUUGGGCGGUUGGAUAAAGGUCUCUGUCAUGUACCUCUCUUCGGGGAGAACUUAUAGGGGAGACGACAUGCAACCAGCCCGGACUGAGGUCCGCGCAUCUGCUAGGAUGCUGGCGUAAUGGCUGU
rnacentral:rRNA from 1 species